GCCGAGGUGGCGGAAUUGGCAGACGCGCAGGCUUCAGGUGCCUGUGUCCUUUACGGACGUGGGGGUUCGAAUCCCCCUCUCGGCACCA
rnacentral:tRNA from 2 species